rfam:Cavia porcellus supercont2_6 genomic scaffold, whole genome shotgun sequence.
UGGUGCCCAGAGUGGGGGCUCCUGGCACAGGGGAGUCAACGAGGGAACCGUUCGAGAAAGCCGGCUAGAAGUAAAAGCAAAUUGAAUCAAGGACCGAGGCCUGCAUGGACGACCACCCGACGGGCCGCCCGAGUCAUGGUGAGUGAACAGCAACCCCAUUCCCUUUCCCAGACAUGGGUCAAGCAUUGAGCGAACAUAAAUUGUUUGUGGGAGGCCUCAGCAAGGCAUUAAAGACAAGAGGGUUAAGGGUUAGAAUAAAAGAAUUGUUGCAGUAUUUUCAAUUUAUUCAUAAGGUUUGCCCUU